GCCCAUUCCAUUAUAGAACCGUCUUCAGCAAUUUUUGUUGGAUGAAGCCUUGGUUGAGCCUCACGCACUUUUUGAAUAAGAAAAUCAUUCUGUCUGUCCAGAAUCUCAGAAGCUGAGAUAAUUGAAGAAAACACUUCUUUUAUGAUUGCCAUGUCCAUGGUUGAUGAAUAGCUCACACAAGCUGGCUUACCAUCUGGAGCAAUAAACAUAUGUUCUGGAGAAGUUGACGGACUAGUUUCCAAAUAUCCCUCAUGCCCUUCAACCAGCCAGUCCAACAAAAACGAUACACAUCCUUCCAACAGAGGAUAUGCCUCAGUUCUAAGAAAAUCCUUGUCCAUUGAGUAAUUAUAGUGCUCCCAUAAAUGGGUACAAAGCCAUGCCCCACCCAUUGGCCACAAUCCAGAAAGGACAUCUGUUCCAUCUGCUGAUGAUUUUGCCCAUAUGUCAGACUUAUGAUGUACAACCCAACCACUUGUUUCAUAGUUAACUUGUGCUGUUUUACUUCCAUUAAUUGACAGGGACUUAAUAAAAUCAAAGAGGGGCUCCUGGCAUUCACUAAGGUUGCAAGGCAAGGAUGGCCAGUAGUUCAUCUCAAGAUUGAUGUUCAGGUGAGGAGCAGAAUCCCAUUUUGGCUGAAGAUCUUUGUUCCAUACUCCCUGCAGGUUUGCCACCUGAGUUCUAGGGCGAGAGCAAGAAAUAAGUAAAUAUCGGCCAAACUGGAAUAGCAGCUCAACUAAGGAUGGAUCCUCAUCAGAUUGAAAAGAUUUUAUCCUCUCAACCGUUGGAAUUAAAUCAUCUUUGCUCCCUUUGACAUAUGAGGUAUUUGCAGAAGGCAUAAGAUUAUUCAUCACCAGAUCAUUUCCUACAAUUACAUUAGUGCUUUUCCAGAGCUGGAACGAGACACGGCGAAAAAGAUUCUGAUAGUCAUCUAAAUGACGUGCAUAUAGAUCAGAAUAUGACAGAUUCGUUAUUGACUUCAAAGCACAAAGAGACUCAGAAGUAGGAUCUUUCCCUGAAUCUGAAGGCUUAGUAAAUGGGCUUUCAAAUGAAGAUGAAGCCACUAAAAGCAACACAGCCCAAUCUGAACCUUCAACCUUCAACGUCUUGUUGUCCAAAACACGUAUCACACCUAUGCCAUCACUAAUUUGUAAAUCAAGAACAGCUGAAAACUGAAUUCCCUUUGGAUUGUCACUUGCCUUCAGUUUUGGCGGUAUCCUUUUCCCAGGGCAACUUCCUUCCAUUAUAAUCUGACUUUCAGCAUUUAUGUAACAAUGAUGAUCUAACAUGCUAUCCAGAGACACUAAAAAAGAUACAGACCCUGAUUUGCUUGCAGAAAUCUUUAGCACAAUCACUUGAUCAGGAUUAGAUGCAAAAUGUUCCCUAGUAAAUUCUAUAUCACCCACAGAAUACUUCACUUUUGCUGUUGCAGUAUCCAAGUCUAGUUCUCUAUGAUAUGUUUCUUCAGCAUAUGUAAGAUGAGAUUCAUCAAACUCUAGCUUGAUAUCCCCAAGUAAUUGAUAGACAUCUGCAGGGUUACCAAGCAACUUGGCAGCAGCAGCGGUAGCUUCUGCAUAUUGGCCGUCAUCAACAAACUUUCUAACAUCUGAUAAUGCCUCUGGAGCACCAGGGUUAGUAAAAUCGCUUGGAGUUCCAGUCCAUAGCGUGUCCUCAUUAAGCUGGAUAAUCUCCGAUGAGACGCCACCCCAGAUCAUGGCACCAAGUCGGCCAUUCCCGAUCGGAAUUGCGUCGGUCCAGUACUUGGCAGGCCCACUAAAAGUGACCUUCAACGGCCUAGGACUAUCAGAGUCCAUCCAGGUUGGUUCCUUGAUGGUAUUCCCUGUGGAUGGCUCCACUAGAACCCAGUCUUCAUCCUCCAUCCUUGCUAGUGAAAUGUAUGUAGGGAAAGAAGUGGAUAGAAGAAGAAGAAUCCCAAAAGAGUACAGGAACCGAGGAACUGGAAAGCUUGCACU
rnacentral:misc_RNA from 1 species